AUUCUGACCUUGUCUUAGAAAAAUUCAUAUAUCUCAUAUUCCAAAAUUCCAUUUGUAAUGGGCCAAUUUAGCCUGGGCCCGUAUAAACACAAAACCAAAAAAUUUAUUAUAAUAAAAAUAUUAUAACAGUCCAUUAAAUGUUCAUUUACAGACUUUGACCCAAUUACUAACCUAAUACCCAAAUUAAUACCCUAGCCCAAACCUAUUACAAGCCCAAAUCUAGACCCAAAGGUUCAAGGGCCAAACGGCCCAAAAUUCCUUAGCAACAGGAACCCUAGGGUUCUCUCCCUCGCGCCGCAGCCAAGCCCGAGCCCUCGCACCGUACGACGCCCCAGCUAUCUCCAUACGCCAGCGCACGGCCUCUGUACGCGCUCCACGCUCACCGUACCUGCACACCAAACGCAAGAAGACAACAAACGCGAGAAAAUGGCAGAAAAAUUGUAUUUUUUUUAUUUCUUCUCUCGGCUAUAAAGCCUAAAGAGAACCACCUAUAUAUUUUGGGGACGCACAAAAAAACUGAAUACAAAGAAAAGGUAAUCAAAACUUUGAAAGGUGAUUUUCGGGUGCUUCAUUUUAUCUUCUUUUUGAAUCCGUUCUUUUCCUCCUGGUUUUUGCAUGUAUUCUUGAGCAUAAGAAAAUAAAAUGAAAAGAAUAGUUCACCUUUGCGAAUGGGCCAUCGAAAUCCUUAUCCGCUUUGUCGAAAUCAAAGCGUGGGAUAGGAUUUCUGGGGCUGGAAUCGGCAAUCUUUGAGCUAGGGUUCUAGGCGAGGGUUGCGCGUGUCGUUCUCCACCAAUCGCAAUGGUGGUGGUUGGACUGCGCAGGUUCUUGAGUAGGCCGAACGGCGAUGAUAGACUUUCGGUUUUCUUUUUACUUUGAUUUUUGGAAAAGAAGGAAAUGGGAUGUGUUUCAUUUAGGGUUUUAUUCUGGCAUUUGAAAGUGUAUAAAGCGAUGCCGUUUUAAGCCAAGUUCAAUGGCUUCAAAACGGUGCUGUUUAAGCAGCCCUGACCCGAUGACCCGGUUCGUGUUCGGAUGAGAUCCGCGAGUUUGGCUUUAGAGGGUUAAUUGUGAACUAAGUCCUUCCCCUUUCGCGCCGCGUUUAAAUAAGCUCA
rnacentral:lncRNA from 1 species